UACGUAGGUGGCAAGCGUUGUCCGGAAUUAUUGGGCGUAAAGCGCGCGCAGGUGGUUUCUUAAGUCUGCUGUGAAAGUCCAGGGCUCAACCCUGGGAUGCCGGUGGAUACUGCUGAACUAGAGUGCGGAAGAGGCGAGUGGAAUUCCCGGUGUAGCGGUGAAAUGCGCAGAUAUCGGGAGGAACACCAAUUGCGAAGGCAGCUCGCUGGGACGUUACUGACGCUGAGACGCGAAAGCGUGGGGAGCAAACAGG
rnacentral:rRNA from 1 species